rnacentral:misc_RNA from 1 species
UCCCUCUUGAACAAUCUUUAGCCUUCCUCUGAGCCACUCAACUUCAUUGCCAAUUUUUGACCUUUCAUAAUCGACAGCAGACAUCGAAUUUCUACGCAAUUCAGAACGCACGGAAUUGCUUCGAGAACGAGCCAUUGGUGGAAAUCUUCCAGAGGCAUCUGAGCUGGUUCUUGGGAUUUCUAGUUCACUCUGCAACAAGCUGAAGGAUGGACUGUCACAUUUAACUGGAAUACUCG